GUAGUCCACGCCGUAAACGUUGGGAACUAGAUGUAGGGACCAUUCCACGGUUUCUGUGUCGCAGCUAACGCAUUAAGUUCCCCGCCUGGGGAGUACGGUCGCAAGACUAAAACUCAAAGGAAUUGACGGGGGCCCGCACAAGCGGCGGAGCAUGCGGAUUAAUUCGAUGCAACGCGAAGAACCUUACCAAGGCUUGACAUAUAGAGGAAACGUGCAGAAAUGUACGCCCCGCAAGGUCUCUAUACAGGUGGUGCAUGGUUGUCGUCAGCUCGUGUCGUGAGAUGUUGGGUUAAGUCCCGCAACGAGCGCAACCCUCGUCCUAUGUUGCCAGCACGUUAUGGUGGGAACUCAUGGGAGACUGCCGGGGUCAACUCGGA
rnacentral:rRNA from 1 species